GCCGGGCAAGACCGGUGCCAGCCGCCGCGGUAACACCGGCGGCUCGAGUGGUAACCGUUAUUAUUGGGUCUAAAGGGUCUGUAGCCGGCCGGAUAAGUCUCUUGAGAAAUCUGGCAGCUUAACUGUCAGGCUUUCAGGAGAUACUGUCUGGCUCGAGGCCGGGAGAGGUGAGAGGUACUUCAGGGGUAGGGGUGAAAUCUUGUAAUCCUUGAAGGACCACCAGUGGCGAAGGCGUCUCACCAGAACGGACCUGACGGCAAGGGACGAAAGCUAGGGGCACGAACCGGAUUAGAUACCCGGGUAGUCCUAGCCGUAAACGAUACUCGCUAGGUGUCGGCCACGGUGCGACCGUUGUCGGUGCCGUAGGGAAGCCGUGAAGCGAGCC
rnacentral:rRNA from 1 species